ensembl:lncRNA
CUUAGUGGUCAUUAAAAGCUGAAUACCUUCUGUAAGGAGGAUGGCUUCUUUAACUUCAGAAGAUGAGAUUUAACAGAUCUAAUUCUGCCAGUCACAUAAACGUGAUCUCAGACAUGCCAGCUAUCUUCCACUGUGGAAAUAAUUUAUUUUGUUUCUGCAUCUGCGAGACUUAUUUCCAAAAGACACAUCUGACAAUGAAAUUUGAGCCCCAGCAAAGCCACAUAUGAGAAGACCUGAAACAGAAGAGGCAGCAACACAAGAGCACACAAGUCUCUCAGCCUGGUACCCCAUCUCAUCUGCAUUUGAGUUUUAUUGUAUUAGAGGAUGAAGCUGGAAACUCAACAGUAGAUGGGGAUAUAUUAAGAUUUCAGAUAUUCAAUCAGAAUCUAAAAGCAGCAAUUUAGAAGAGAAAUCUUAAGGGAAAAUAUCCUCCUCAACAUGAUCGUUGAGAAUGAGAAAGCAAGAACAUCUCACUCACUAUCAGAGCAACUACAUCUUGAGAUUGUCUUCAAAUGGAAGAACUUGUUUGGGAUGAAGUCGGACACCUACUGCAUGAACCAGAGAUCAACUCAGCAAAAGGAAAAAAGGAGAAAACACAAUAAGAAAGGGGAGUUGCUGUAGCUGUUGGAAGAGUGGAAAUUUUAUUAUCAUGUACAUAAAGAAAGAAUAAUGUCUUAAGACAGGAGAUGCUACCAAAACAUAAUAUACACACACCUGUUGUUAGCAGUAUUUGAGCACAGGAGGUGCUGGUUCUGAAGUAUCUCGCAGCAUUGCCAAUGAGUGAAAUGAGUGAAUGAGUGAAAUUCCCCAUUAAACUGUUGAAAUCCUGCAAAUUUUCACUGUCACUGCAUGUACCUGGGGGGAAAAGAAUGAUCCAAGAUGUAAAAUUGUCAUUUUGCUGUUGACAAAAAUGUAUUCUUGAGGAUGCUCUGAAUAUGUUACAAGCUGAAUUUAAUUUCUUAACUGUAACUCAGAUGCAAAAAAAGUCACAUUUUAUCUUAUCUUUAUUAAACAAACAGUGUGUUGAAACUGCACUGUUCCAAUGAUCAGCCAAAUGAUAAGAUAGGAGGAAUAGUUAAAAUUCAAAUUCUAAACAGUAGGGUUUGGGGACUGGAAGAAUUAAUGGAUAAUGCUAGUAUUCAGUAAGUAUUAUAGCACCAGAACUUUCCAUAAAUGCAGAACAGUGCUUAGGGUCUUUAAAAUCACUACUGUCAUAAAGAUCAUUUUCAAAACAAAAGAUGUAUAUUCACAAAAAAUUCAAACAGACACAGCUGUAACCCUAUCAACCUUAUCAAGCAACGCAGUCAAAGAGGAAAGAGUUUUUUUCUUUGUUUAGCAAAUUAUCUUAACUUUGCUACCUGUGCUAUAGAAAAUCAUGUACUACAAAAGCAAAUUACAUGCAGUUAUAUCCAGACCUUUCUUUGCCACCUUGUCUUUUAAUGUUGUAUAUUGGUGAACAAAAUUAAAUGCCUAAAAG